rnacentral:rRNA from 1 species
GCCUGCACUUUGGGAUAGCCUGGGAAACUGGGUCUAAUACCGAAUAUGAUCAUGCGCCUCAUGGUGUGUGGUGGAAAGCUUUUGCGGUGUGGGAUGGGCCCGCGGCCUAUCAGCUUGUUGGUGGGGUAAUGGGCCUACCAAGGCGACGACGGGGUAGCCGGCCUGAGAGGGUGUCCGGCCACACUGGGACUGAGAUACGGCCCAGACUCCUACGGGAGGCAGCAGUGGGGAAUAUUGCACAAUGGGCGCAAGCCUGAUGCAGCGACGCCGCGUGGGGGAUGACGGCCUUCGGGUUGUAAACCUCUUUCAGUAUCGGCGAAGCUCCAGGGUUUUCUUUGGGGUGACGGUAGGUACAGAAGAAGCACCGGCCAACUACGUGCCAGCAGCCGCGGUAAUACGUAGGGUGCGAGCGUUGUCCGGAAUUACUGGGCGUAAAGAGCUCGUAGGUGGUUUGUCGCGUUGUCCGUGAAAACUCACAGCUCAACUGUGGGCGUGCGGGCGAUACGGGCAGACUAGAGUACUGUAGGGG